rnacentral:misc_RNA from 1 species
UUUGAUGUAAUUUGUUUUACGUGGAGAAAGUUUUACUAUUUGAUUUCUUAUUGUUAUAUUUCAACCAAUAGCCCUCUUUAUGUCGUAUUUAAAACAACAGUUAUGUUAUUCUGUAGUAAUCGUUUGAUACACCAAGUGAAAACAUGGAGACUCGAUCAUCUGCGAGAAGAAAGCGCUUAAACGAAAUGGGAGGAAAUGGAGACUUUACACCGGAAACGUCUGAGAAAAACACCUCAGUUCCGCAUUUGACAUCCACCAGUGACAUGGCGAUCGGGAAAUGGAAGUUCAACAAAGUCAUACUCAGUACCCAUUUUAACAUAUUUUUAUAUGCGACAUGCUUUUGGAUCCAAAUUGGCACUUUGCCUUACUUGACAAAGAAACUGGGAGUGGAUCCAGUGUUUUUUGGAUACCUUCAGACUACCUUUGCUGUUGUACAGCUAUGUGGUGGCCCUGUGUAUGGAAGGUUUGGAGAUAUGUUUGGGGGAAGAGCAGCCAUGGCUCUUGCCUUUGCUUGUGCAUCAGUGUCAUAUUUUGUCCUUGGAAUUGCUGACACUUUUUUCUGGCUCUUCCUUUCAAGACUGCCAUCAGUCUUCAUGCAUGCCAUGCAAGGUGGGCAGAUGAUUGUGACAGACCUGGGGGAGGAGGGGCAAAGAGCAGAUGCCCUGGGCAAGCUGGGCCUGUCCUAUGGAGUGGGCAUGGUUAUUGGGCCCUUCUUGGGAGGAUUAGUCACAAAGUUCUUCAGUGAACAGACAGCUGCCUUCGUGGCGUGUAUAGGAUCCGUCCUCAGUAUUGGUGUUGUGUGGGUGUUUGUUCCACAGAGGACAAAGAAGUCUCAGGGAAAAGGUAAGUAUCCCUUCAGAAAACUGUCCUUCGUUAGAGUAUUUAGACCUUUCAGAGUGCUUCUGGAUAGAAAGGGCUGGGUUUCUGUCAGCAAGGAAAUUCAUCAACAAAUUGUCUGUUUUGAAUUGGGAAUUGUAAUACCCAUGAUGAUAUAAAUAUAUUUCUUCUUCCAGAGAGCUCAGGGUCAGCAGUGUUUAGUUUGAAGAAAAUCCUGGCCCUGGUGACAGCCCCAGGGGCUGGUUUCUUACUCUUUAUCAGAAUGUUGGCAGGAUUACCAAUUGGAGUGUUCCAAAGCAUGUUCUCAGUGUUUGCCAUGGAAACCUUCAAACUACCAGCUGAACAAAAUGGAUAUUUAUUGUCAUAUGUUGGGGUUUUAACUAUGAUUGUACAAGGACUGGGUGUAGGAGUUCUAACCAAGAAGUUCUCAGAAAAUGACAUUUUGAAAUGGUCCUCAUUCCUUUUAGUUUGGUCUUAUUUAGCACUGGCUUUCGUGACAGACGUUUUCCAGCUUUGUGUAGUUAUGGUCCCUCUGGUGGUCGGGCUGGCCUCGUCCAACAUCGUAGUCAGUAGCGCCCUCACUAAGACAGUGUCAGACCAAGAUACAGGUGCAAUGCUUGGUCUGAACAUGGCAGUGAACUCACUCAUCCGUACCAUAUCACCGACAGUAGGCGGCUUUCUGCUCAAGUCCUAUGGAUUCCAGUCUUUCGGUUAUUUAGGAUUUGUAAUGCUUGGAAUUUCAACAAUAAUUCUAUUUAUAAAACUCAGACAGUAAUAUUUAGAAGGGCACUUUUUAGAAUUAUUUUUUUUAUUGUUACUUUAUUAAAUUUUUCAGUAAUUUAUUGUGAAUUUAUGAUCUGUGACUUUUAUCUGAUGAUUUAUUUUGUGGAUGAGAACAGUUGAAUAAUAUACCAUUCAUCAAGAUAUUUUAGACAGUAGAAAAAUUUGAGGAUUUCAGCCUUGAGAUCCAGCCAGAAAAAGUAGUUUUAUCUAUAGAUGGGUGGUAGGCUUGUAUAGAGCAAUUGUUGUUUUAAAUAUUUUGACAAUCUGUGUUGAAUUAUUGUCCACCUCUGACAGACUCAGCAUUUCCAGUAUGUGUUAAAAUAACUUGGUUGAUGGAAUAUGGUUGAAUUGUGUCCGAAUCACUUCAGAUUUGUUAUGCCUUCUUCUAUUUCUGAUUUGUUUUAUAUUUUUGAUUGUUUUCUUAUUGUUCAUAUCAAGACAGGGUGAUAGCAUGUGUUUAUAAGGAAGACUUUCCAUUGAUUGAUAAACCAAUAACAAGGCAUUUCCACUAAAUAUGAAAUUUAUUAUUUGAAUCAGAAAAAAAUAGAAAAUACUGACCUACAUGUCUGGUUAUUGUUAGGCCCUUGGAUGAAAGUUGUUUUGAGAUUCAGUGAUAGUGCUUUCAGUAUUAUUGUUUGGGUUUUUUUUGUACUUGUUGACAGUAGUCAGUAAAAAAAAUUAUUAGCAUUAUUUUGUUCAGAAUUCAGAAAUCAUUUUUAUAUAUGUAUUACAAAAUUCUCAAUUAUUUAACAAUUAUUCUGUUUCAAUGGGAAUUAUUUUCAACAUUGAUAAGAUACAUGUUGUUAGUAAUGACUCUGAAUAAACUAAACUGCAGUACAGCAAACAUGAAUAAUUAAUUCCCUGGAACCAAACUAACUUUGUUAUAAUGUAGGGAUAUUAAGUGGUAUAUUACCCAGUACUUGUUAUUUAAACAGUUAGAAAGAAUACGAUGAGAUGCAAUAAAAGUGACUGAAUC